rnacentral:rRNA from 1 species
AUUGAACGCUGGUGGCAGGCCUAACACAUGCAAGUCGAGCGGAUGACGGGAGCUUGCUCCUUGAUUCAGCGGCGGACGGGUGAGUAAUGCCUAGGAAUCUGCCUGGUAGUGGGGGACAACGUUUCGAAAGGAACGCUAAUACCGCAUACGUCCUACGGGAGAAAGCAGGGGACCUUCGGGCCUUGCGCUAUCAGAUGAGCCUAGGUCGGAUUAGCUAGUUGGUGAGGUAAUGGCUCACCAAGGCGACGAUCCGUAACUGGUCUGAGAGGAUGAUCCGUCACACUGGAACUGAGACACGGUCCAGACUCCUACGGGAGGCAGCAGUGGGGAAUAUUGGACAAUGGGCGAAAGCCUGAUCCAGCCAUGCCGCGUGUGUGAAGAAGGUCUUCGGAUUGUAAAGCACUUUAAGUUGGGAGGAAGGGCAGUAAGUUAAUACCUUGCUGUUUUGACGUUACCGACAGAAUAAGCACCGGCUAACUCUGUGCCAGCCGCCGCCGUAAGAC